rnacentral:rRNA from 16 species
CCUGUCAAGCGGACUAGACGGUGUGCACGCACUCCAGAGCCGGGAGCUGAGCUGCUGGGGAAUGAAGGUCAAACGGCCAGGCAUGUCCGUGGUAGGGAAUGGGACCGAUAACUAAUAAGUGCACUGAUCGACACGUGCAAAGGACUCUGCCAGGGGGG